AAUGCUGGAAGAUCAAAUAAGAUGAGAACAAAGAAAAGUCCACUGAAUUUUGCAGCUCUGGUUUGGGUACUUCAAUAUGAGUGGUAUGGCCUGAAGAUCUCUUAAAGCCGCGCAGUGGAAGUUAUCUGGCAGUUCUGCCUCAUAAGAAGGGAGCAAUACAGAUUCAAUUUAUGGGUGGAAUCAUAUCGUACUUGUCUUAGGCCAACAGACACACAAAAAUGCACAGCAUCAUCAAUCAUCAGGGAAAUGCAAAUCAAAACCGCAACGAGAUUAUAAGGUAAACAAAUUGACGAAAACACAAGUGUAAAAGUUGAUGUGAUGGAUAAUUGUGCAUUUCAAUUGUGCAUUUUUCAAAAAUACUUCCUAUCCAACCAAAGCAUGAGAUAUAACUAACAUAAAGAGCAUAUGUACAAA